CGCCCCGCGCGGAGGGGAGGGGAGGAGGAGGCGCCGCGGCAGGCAGCACGUUCCAUGUACUUCCAUGUCCUAUCUGCUAGAAGUAUGUCCUCGAUUCUCACCAUGGAAAACAAUCUGCCUGACCUCCCAAGAGAACUAGCUUGGAUUAAAAAGCCUUUUAAUGAAGAUCAAC